UACGUAGGGCGCAAGCGUUAUCCGGAAUUAUUGGGCGUAAAGAGCUCGUAGGCGGUUUGUCGCGUCUGCCGUGAAAGUCCGGGGCUCAACUCCGGAUCUGCGGUGGGUACGGGCAGACUAGAGUGAUGUAGGGGAGACUGGAAUUCCUGGUGUAGCGGUGAAAUGCGCAGAUAUCAGGAGGAACACCGAUGGCGAAGGCAGGUCUCUGGGCAUUAACUGACGCUGAGGAGCGAAAGCAUGGGGAGUGAACAGG
rnacentral:rRNA from 1 species